GCCAGCGUGGUGCAGUGGUUUGAGUGUUGGACUAGGAGUCUGGAGACCAAGGUUCAAAUCCUAGCUCAGCUA